rnacentral:sRNA from 1 species
AUUUCCUUUUUCUCGUUGACAAUUUGGCCUGAGAUGGAUGUUUAGCCUGGGAUCAGAGGUUUUGAUUUUUGGGACAUACGAACAUUCCUUCAGAAUGAUGUAGACGUUUACGACAUGGGAACGGCGGAAGAAGUGGAGGAGGAACGAGAUUAAAAAUAUAAUUCCGCGGUGAUGGCGCAGGUCGAUCACCAGUUAUCUAGUAGAAAUAGGAAAACAGAAUUAAGGUAGUUUGGUUGGCGGGAGUAGCCAAGACUGAUAACGUCGACUCAUUCAGAAGCAGCAGGCGAUUUCAGCAAGUUGUGAGGGAGCCGCUUUCUGAACAUUUUCGUCUCUGCGGACCAACAAGUAUGCUGCCAUCAUGCCAUCAUAUUCCGAGUGCAUGUCUUCGUCUGCAGGCGACCUUGAGUGAUAAUUGCCGAUCAGCACGGAAGGACGACGGGCGCGCGUUCUUAGUGGUUGAUUUAGUUGGUAGUUGUGGUUAUUUAUCUAACGUUCCCCCCUCCCGCCCUAGAUCUUAAAUGAAGAAGAAGCUUCCGUCGUAUGUACUCUGUACGGACCCUG